GCGUCCGUAGCUCAGUUGGUUAGAGUAUCACCUUGACAUGGUGGGGAUCGGUGGUUCAAAUCCACUCGGACGCACCA
rnacentral:tRNA from 1 species